rnacentral:rRNA from 1 species
AGAGACAGCAGCAGCCGCGGGAAUACGAAGGGUGCAAGCGUUACUCGGAAUUACUGGGCGUAAAGCGUGCGUAGGUGGUGGUUUAAGUCCGUUGUGAAAGCCCUGGGCUCAACCUGGGAAUUGCAGUGGAUACUGGGUCACUAGAGUGUGGUAGAGGAUAGUGGAAUUUCCGGUGUAGCAGUGAAAUGCGUAGAGAUCGGAAGGAACAUCUGUGGCGAAGGCGACUAUCUGGGCCAACACUGACACUGAGGCACGAAAGCGUGGGGAGCAAACAGGAUUAGAUACCCCAGUAGUCCCUGUCUCUUAUAC